CCUACGGGAGGCUGCAGUGAGGAAUAUUGGUCAAUGGGCUUACGCCUGAACCAGCCAAGUCGCGUGAGGGAAGACUGCCCUAUGGGUUGUACACUUCUUUUAUAUGGGAAUAAAAUGUUCCACGUGUGGGAUUUUGUAUGUACCAUAUGAAUAAGGAUCGGCUAACUCCGUGCCAGCAGCCGCGGUAAUACGGAGGAUCCGAGCGUUAUCCGGAUUUAUUGGGUUUAAAGGGAGCGUAGGUGGAUUGUUAAGUCAGUUGUGAAAGUUUGCGGCUCAACCGUAAAAUGGCAGUUGAAACUGGCAGUCUUGAGUACAGUAGAGGUGGGCGGAAUUCGUGGUGUAGCGGUGAAAUGCUUAGAUAUCACGAAGAACUCCGAUUGCGAAGGCAGCUCACUGGACUGCAACUGACACUGAGGCUCGAAAGUGUGGGUAUCAAACAGGAUUAGAUACCCCUGUAGUC
rnacentral:rRNA from 1 species